AUUGGUGGUUCGAUAUCUCGAAAGUCGAAAUGUGCCCCAACAAACAAACAUAACCUACAAAACGCGUGAUUGAUGUUAGAAAUGAUGUUAGAAUAAUAAAACUAGCCAAAAUCCCGAAAACUAAAGAAUUUAUCCGUGAUACUGUAAAAUUAUGAAAGCUUGUCAUUUUCCAAAACUUUUGAUACCACUUUCGCAAGAAUAGAAAUUAUAAUAAGCUCGUUUUAUGGUUUUUUUUCACAACAACUUAAUCUUAAAACAAUCCCUCCGACCUGUUACGUUACCCUUUCGAAUAAACUUCUAAUUUUUUCCAAACUUACAAUGGUGCGACGGUGUUUUGUACCUUGGUGCAAGCACCAGCCUUUAUCGGAUUCUUGCUCCCUACGACGGUUUCCUCGUGAUGAAACCAAAACAAGAGAACUGUUGAAAGCGACAAGGGCAACUUCGAUAUCUGGACAAUUUCUCCAUUUGUAAGGACAUUUGAUCUCAAGGACGAUUUCAUCAUCAAUCAAGCCAUCAGGAGAUGCACCAAGCAGGCCACUCUCAUGCAAGAAAAUACCACACUCCCUAACUUUCACAUUAAAAUGAUCCUCAAAUGCUUUCCUGGUUGUUGCCUCAUUCUCUCUUCCCCACUUGAUAGCUUUAAUACCAUCUAAGUCAUAUGCGCCUAAAAGAGUGUUAAAAAAUGACUCUGAAUAUUUUCCACUAUUACAUGCUCUUAGCACUGCACCAACAUUACUUGCUGUAAUCAAAAACGUUUAACAACUAACCAUAGAGAAUUUUACUCUGACCGAUAGUUGCUUGCUCGAUUCUACUGAUCGCUUCUGCGUUCACUCGAACCCUCUCUAGCAAAAAUGACACCUUAUCAGCAGCUUCUUUCAUUUCUUGCGACAAGAGGGUUGACUCCAAGUUAUGAAGCAAUAAUGCAGACUCCAAACGCAAUUUUUUAAGUACAGAAAAUCAGGAAAAAAAUUCAGAAGACAAAAUUAAAAAUGUUAAAAAAAUCAUAGAUUUUGUACGUAAAGAAAAAGGACAGAAAGAAAUUCAUGGAAGACAGUUUUUUCGUUUUGAAAAUUGCGAUUUUUAAGUUCAAAACUGUCGUCACUGAAUUGCCUGAUUUACAUUAACUACACUAUUAUUGACAAUGUUGACUUAAAAUACGAUUCAAAAAUGGACCACAGAAAAAUUGUAUCAAUUUUUGGAUAUUCUCUCUCCAUGUUUCAUUUCUCUGAAUAGGGGCACAAAAAAAACCUUUCGGGGUCCAAAUAAACAAUCUAGCCUCUUUCUUAUUUAAAAUAAAAAGCUGUGUUUGGAUCUGAUGGUACCAGUCAUUUUCUCAUUCACCACAUAGGUGCCAUUUUCAAUACGGACUAUAUCACUUUUCUUCGCUUCCUUCAGGGCAACUUCGAUAUCUGGACAAUUUCUCCAUUUGUAAGGACAUUUGAUCUCAAGGACGAUUUCAUCAUCAAUCAAGCCAUCAGGAGAUGCACCAAGCAGGCCACUCUCAUGCAAGAAAAUACCACACUCCCUAACUUUCACAUUAAAAUGAUCCUCAAAUGCUUUCCUGGCUGUUGCCUCAUUCUCUCUUCCCCACUUGAUAGCUUUAAUACCAUCUAAGUCAUAUGCGCCUAAAAGAGUGUUAAACAAUGACUCUGAAUAUUUUCACUAUUACAUGCUCUUAGCACUGCACCAACAUUACUUGCUGUAAUCAAAAACGUUUAACAACUAACCAUAGAGAAUUUUUACUCUGACCGAUAGUUGCUUGCUCGAUUCUACUGAUCGCUUCUGCGUUCACUCGAACCCUCUCUAGCAAAAAUGACACCUUAUCAGCAGCUUCUUUCAUUUCUUGCGACAAGAGGGUUGACUCCAAGUUAUGAAGCAAUAAUGCAGACUCCAAAACUUCUGGUGAAAGGAGCCAGCUGAUACCUGUAAUAAUAAUAAAAAUAAUAAUUAGUUUAUUUUUACCUCUCAGUACCACAAUAUCAAUCAUAGAAUAAGAAAUAAAACAACCCACCACCCUUUAAGC
rnacentral:lncRNA from 1 species